UACGGGGGGGGCAAGCGUUGUUCGGAAUUACUGGGCGUAAAGGGCUCGUAGGCGGCCAACUAAGUCAGACGUGAAAUCCCUCGGCUUAACCGGGGAACUGCGUCUGAUACUGGAUGGCUUGAGAUUGGGAGAGGGAUGCGGAAUUCCAGGUGUAGCGGUGAAAUGCGUAGAUAUCUGGAGGAACACCGGUGGCGAAGGCGGCCCUCUGGUCCAGUACUGACACUCAAGUGCGAAAGCGUGGGGAGCAAACAGG
rnacentral:rRNA from 1 species